ensembl:lncRNA
GGUUGAAGUACUACGCAGGUGUGUCCUCCUCGUGUAGUACUUCAAACAUCGACUUCAAGCCCCCCCCCGCCAGAGGCAAACAACGGGACCCGACUGCAGCUCUGCCUCCCCCACCGGUGCCAAUGCUAUGCCUAUUAGCCCCGAGCUAAUUACCCGGCGGCGCUCCCGGUGGGAUUGGCUAAGCUAAUUAGCAUGCACCUGAUUAGACGGGUGGAGGUAAAAUAAGACAAAGCGGAGCGGGAGACAAAAAGAUCUGUUGGUACGAGAGCUACUCGGGGGAGGAAACCCGGUGCGACGUGUUUGGGAAUCAUCACGCGCCAUAAAAAAAAAGAGAAACAGGCUUUCGGUGGUUUGGUUAACGACCCGGUGGGAUAAAGCACCAAAUUGGGGGCAGCAGGGGAUGAAGCAGGUUUUUAUCGUUAAUUAUCCACAGCAGAACCUCUGUGGAGCACUAAGCUGGGUUUGCUGCUGGCCACUGCAGGAGAUCAUAAGCAUGAAUAGCUUCACAAGCUACAAGGCCGGGGGGGGCGCAGCGCAUCGUGUACGUACGAUGGAGAUGGUGGAGAGGUCAACUCUGGGGAAGGUCCUGUAAAGCAGGUCCCGCGUGUAGCUUUCACGCGACAUAGCAGCUCACCUUCCGUCUCGCGUGUCCUUGAGAGCCGGAGCGGGGGAGGGAGGCGCAAGGGGGGGUUGUGCGAGACGUCUCCGCGUGUCUCAGCCUCCACAUUGCAGGCGCUGUGUGGCACUCACAGAAACACACACAGCAUGCACAAUGAGGAGGCCCCGAGCACGCACGUUUUCACCAGCAACGCUACCGGUGCAGGGGGGAGGGGUGGUGGAAUAAACAGAGGGAAGGGGAUGCUGACGUGAUGCCAUCUUGAUGCUAACGUGAUGCUAACGUGAUGCCAACGUGAUGCCAACGGGAUGCUAACGUGAGGCCAACUUGAUGCUAACGUGAUGCCAACGUGAUGGCAACGUGAUGCUAACGUGAUGCCAACGUAUGAUGUCGGGGUUCAUGGUCAGCGUCUUGACCCGUUGUGCACAUCAGUCGUCGCCCCCUGCUGGCCAUUAGAAAGAGGGAAGGUUUAAAGGUAUGAAAAAACUAAAUGGUCUUCUCACCGAUUCAUCGCCGCUCCCAAUGAUGAAUGGUGGUCGGGUUCUGAGAGGAACCGUUUUAAGCUCCACCGUGGCGUAUUUCCCCUGUGACUCAGUCUUCUGGAUUCUUCUCCACUCUCUGAACUUCAAAUUAGUGCGUGCCGACUAAUCAGCGCUCCGUCCACCGGCUUCAACUUUCACAAUUUAAAAUUAGCCGACGAGCGAAAAAGCGGCUCUACUUAUUUUUUUAAUAAGGCCGGUGACAACCGCUUCCUCGUAGGGCUUUUAAUGAGCCGCCCGCCCCAGGGGGGUGAGCCUCUGCUCCUUUGGGUGUCACUUAAUCAAAGGACCACUGAGCACGCUGCUGGGAGGACCUGCGCUGCCUCUCGGCCAUCCGCUGCCCCGGCCUCACCGUUACCGUGACAGCCGCCUCGUUAAAAAACCAGCUCCACCUGCAGCGGACGGCGAAGCGGGUGCAGCCGGACGGAGGAACACCCGCCGUGCAGGAAGCAUCGCUGCGGCGGGGAGACCAACCAAGCAGGGCGAGACACACAAAUGGUGUUAAUAUGUGUCUUCCAAGCUCUCAUUCACAAACUGUCUAUCUGCCCCCCCCCCCCCAGAUGACUCAUCCUGAGCCCCCCCGCGGCGCUCUGCUCCGCACACAGAUGGCGUGUCUGCGUUUGUAACCUCGUUGAAGUUCUUUUGUUUCUCCAUCUCACAAUGUUGCCUUCAUAUAAAGAUUAAAAAUAGAUUCCAGAUACAGUAAAUUUCCAUAACAACCGAACCACGAGUGCAAAGAGCGCAUCGUGUUGAACUCUUCAGCAGCUUGAUGUUGUUUUCGCACAUCGCCCUGUUGUGCUCGCGUUCGUGGUCCCCAGAGGACGACUCCCGCUGACUUUGGCGGAUCGACCUCUGUCCGUGUCCCGCGUUGAUAUGUAUAUAAAGUUUGUACCCGGGAGAGUGGGUUGUUCUGGUGCUUUCCGGUCUCUGUUUCUCACCGUUAUAGCUGGCGCCUCGCUAACCUCUAGCGGAGGUGGAUGAUGAAUCCGGCAGGGGCUCGGCGAGCUCAGCUGUGGGUGUUACUGCCGCUGCGAGACCUUAAUUAUGCCGCAGCAUGAAGAUGCAACGGCGUCCCGCUGUCUGCCGACCCGUUUGUGCCAACGCGUCCUAAAAGUAUACUUUUAGUUUAUUAACAUGAAACCAAAGGAGGUGCUCUUCAUUUUCAUAUUCCACCUGCUUGAAUUGACCUCAUCUUUUCCUAAUCCAACUCCGAGUUUAGAAACAUCACAUCUAUGAACUGUGCACACGUUUAGUUCAGUGUGACCCCGGACCUGCGGGGUCAGAAGGCUAAUAGCAACGCGCUAGUGAGUCGUCCUCGCGUGGCGCCCCGCAGCGGUUUCAUUAAAAACCGGCGUCACUAGACAAGUUUCCUCGUUUCACGUUGCUCUCAAAAACGUCAAUGAGUGUAAAAUGCUCCUUCGUGACGCACGAGGGCGACGGUCAGCGGGUCGGAUGAUGUUCGGUUGGUUGCUUCACGGACAAACGAGACGAGAGGCUUAGCUUGGCGCCCUUGGAGCCAUGAAACAGUCACACGCUACAUUCAGGAGACACAUUGUGCGGCUUCGUGGCUUCGACGCGCCACGAACGGAUGAGUUUGCCGGAGUAGAAUUCGUGCUUAGUGGCGGACGGACGCGGAGGAGCACGCUCACUCACAGGCGGACGCCAUAAUUGGCACAGAUGCUAACACGCGUUUAACUUGCAAGCUUUCAUGUGCGGAGGAGCUCCGUCCUCGACGUGGAGGAAGGAACCGAACGCAAACACCGACCGGCCCUGAAGUCGGACGUGUGAAAUGAUCUGUGACCCGAGAUCAGCGGAGCUGGAAGCGGCCGUCGGCCCGUCGACACCUCGGCAUCCAAACCAGCCCGUUUGAGGCAACUGGAGCUCGAGAGGCUGCUUCUCCGACUGGUAAGAGCGGCGUGUAGGUGUGCGUUUUCGUUUGUGUUAGUGGGUGGAGGCAGCGAGAUGGAGAAGCGAUGACCUGUGUGUGUGUGUGUGUGUGUGUGUGUGUGUGUGUGUGUGUGUGUGGUAGCAUGAAGAACUCUUUCGGGGCUUUCACGGUGAGAGAUGAAACACUUGAAUUGACUUUAAUGCGUCCGUGCUGCCGUGUGUUGUGUGGAUCCGUUACCCGUGAAGAAUAUCAAACACGUGUCGCACACCGACGGGACGAGCUUUGUUUGUUCCACCUUCGAGCGCAGAUGCAGCUCUGCAGUUUCACUUCAAGAUGGUUUAAAAAUGACGGGAGCCUUUCAGUCCAAGAACCUUUCACUGCAAACUAAGUCACAAACACUUUCCACACCAGAGCAGCCGGUUGUUUUGAAUUUGUGUUCCACGUGACACUAAUUAGACUCAUUACCAUAAGACUAAUACACAUAAAUAUAAGACCAUUUAAAGGGCACUCCAGCCAUUAACAAUUAGACAUUAGACAGAUGAGGGGCCAAGAUGCUGCUGAUUGUGAGACAUCCAGAAAUCCAUUUCCCCCCUCCAGAAAAUACUGGAUUCUAAAUUUCCCAUGAUGCAAAAAUAGAACACUUGCUUCCUCUUCAACAGCACUUACUUGCAAGCGGAAAAAGGGAGCAACCGCUAGUUUUGAAACUUGAUGCCAAUGCAGAAGUGUCCUACAGCUGCAUUCUGUGUAGUGACCAGCAGGGGGCGACUCCUCUGCUCCCAUAGACGUCUAUGAGGAAAUGACUCCACUUCUCUCUAGUGACCAGCAGGGGGCGGCUCCUCUGCUCCCAUAGACGUCGAUGAGGAAAUGACUCUACUUCUCUGUAGUGACCAGCAGGGGGCGACUCCUCUGCUCCCAUAGACGUCUAUGAGGAAAUGACUCUACUUCUCUGUAGUGACCAGCAGGGGGCGACUCCUCUGCUC